rnacentral:misc_RNA from 1 species
GUAACAAUGCAGUUUCAAUUUAAAACGUGGGAUUUGAUUUCUAAACGUUUCACAAAGAAUGAGAAGGGUUUCAUGAAUCGUGGAACCAACCCUAGCUUGUUUUGUAAUGAAUGCUUUUUUCGAGUUGAGUUUUGCUGACAAGCAAAAAAUAUUAAUCGAUCUCCAUUUACUGCAUAAGAUGCAAACAUGAAUUCUAUAUAUUUUCAAUUUGGAUUGGAU